rnacentral:rRNA from 1 species
UACGUAGGGUGCAAGCGUUAAUCGGAAUUACUGGGCGUAAAGCGUGCGCAGGCGGUUUUGUAAGUCUGACGUGAAAUCCCCGGGCUCAACCUGGGAAUUGCGAUGGAGACUGCAAGGCUUGAAUCUGGCAGAGGGGGGUAGAAUUCCACGUGUAGCAGUGAAAUGCGUAGAGAUGUGGAGGAACACCGAUGGCGAAGGCAGCCCCCUGGGUCAAGAUUGACGCUCAUGCACGAAAGCGUGGGGAUCAAACAGG